rnacentral:rRNA from 1 species
GACGAACGCUGGCGGCGUGCUUAACACAUGCAAGUCGAGCGGUAAGGCCCUUUCGGGGUACGACGAGCGGCGAACGGGUGAGUAACACGUGGGUGACCUGCCCUCCAGCUCUGGGAGUAAGCCUGGGAAACCGGGUCUAAUACUGGAUAUGACUCCAUGACGCAUGUUGUGGGGUGGAAAGCCUUGUGCGGCUGAGGAUGGGCCCGCGGCCUAUCAGCUUGUUGGUGGGGUGAGGCCUACCAAGGCGACGACGGGUAGCCGGCCUGAGAGGGCGACCGGCCACACUGGGACUGAGACACGGCCCAGACUCCUACGGGAGGGCAGCAGUGGGGAAUCUUGCGCAAUGGGCGAAAGCCUGACGCAGCGACGCCGCGUGAGGGAUGACGGCC